rnacentral:tRNA from 1 species
CGGGGAGUGGCGCAGUUUGGUAGCGCACCUGUUUUGGGAACAGGGGGUCGCAGGUUCAAAUCCUGUCUCCCCGACCA